UGAAAACCGACUUUGAAAGAUAUUCUGUGGAUAUUGCGGAGUUAACAGAAGACUGAGAUGGAGGAACAUGAAGAACAGGGCGGCAGUCGUCAGGUGUAGGCAAAUCUUUUAUAGACAGGACAGAGGACGCAGCUCAGAUGAAUCUCCGGAAAGAACUGAACAUCGCAGAGAAUGUGGAACUGCACGAAGGUUUUUAACGACGCCUCGCUUCGAUGUCCCGACAUAAACUUGGAAACCGACAUCAAGCACUAUGGCUGCUGUGGCACGGAAGCAGUGUGGUGUGUAGGUCUUAAUGCACUUUGACGACUUAUCGGCCAUACAUCCUGUGAAUGACCUUUUUGCUAAAGCCUAAUGCCAUCGUCUAGCAGUAAGUACAAUUCCGCAUCACCGAUGACCAGGGUGAAGUUGUAGCAGACGAAAUUUUAGACAUACAUUAGGCCUAGUAGGUUAGUAACUAAAGACAUUGUUUACAGAAAUGUUUUUAUCAAUUAUUGAUGAAAGUUCACUGCUUGGAAUACAAAUAAAACCGUAAAUACAUAU